CUACGGGCGGCACCAGUCGAGAAUCUUCGGCAAUGGACGAAAGUCUGACCGAGCGACGCCGCGUGCGGGAUGAAGGCCUUCGGGUUGUAAACCGCUGUCAGUUGGGAGGAAAUCACAUGGGGUUCUCCCCAUGUGUUGACCUAUCUUCAGAGGAAGUACGGGCUAAGUUCGUGCCAGCAGCCGCGGUAACACGAACCGUACAAACGUUAUUCGGAAUCACUGGGCUUAAAGGGUGCGUAGGCGGCCUGAAAAGUUGGGUGUGAAAUCCCUCGGCUCAACCGAGGAAUUGCGCUCAAUACUGCCAGGCUAGAGGGAGACAGAGGUGAGCGGAACUCAGGGUGGAGCGGUGAAAUGCGUUGAUAUCCUGAGGAACACCAGUGGCGAAGGCGGCUCACUGGGUCUCUUCUGACGCUGAGGCACGAAAGCUGGGGGAGCGAACGGGAUUAGAUACCCUAGUAGUC
rnacentral:rRNA from 1 species